GGCUGGUACUGCGGGAGCCGCGAGCGGUCGUAAUAAGACCGUGCGGCUGAGAGGGCUUCAGCGCCGACCGCUUGACCUGAUCCGGUUAAUGCCGGCGUAGGGAAGGACCCCAUGGACACA
rnacentral:ncRNA from 2 species